ensembl:rRNA nuclear encoded rRNA 5S 30
AUCUACAGUCAUAUCACCCUCACUCACUAUACUCAAUCCCAUCUGAUCUUGGAAGCUAAGCAGGAUCCGGCCUGGUUAGUAUUUGAAUGGGAGACAACCUGGGGAGGUGGGUGAUGUGGGCU